CCUACGGGUGGCUGCAGUGGGGAAUAUUGCACAAUGGGGGAAACCCUGAUGCAGCGACGCCGCGUGAGUGAAGAAGUAUUUCGGUAUGUAAAGCUCUAUCAGCAGGGAAGUAAAUGACGGUACCUGACUAAGAAGCCCCGGCUAACUACGUGCCAGCAGCCGCGGCAAUACGUAGGGGGCAAGCGUUAUCCGGAUUUACUGGGUGUAAAGGGAGCGUAGACGGCAGAGCAAGUCUGAAGUGAAAGCCCGCGGCCCAACUGCGGGACUGCAUUGGAAACUGGCCGGCUAGAGUUCUGGAGAGGUAAGCGGAAUUCGUGGUGUAGCGGUGAAAUGCGUAGAUAUUAGGAGGAACACCAGUGGCGAAGGCAGCUUACUAGACAGUAACUGACAUUGAGGCUCGAAAGCGUGGGGAGCAAACAGGAUUAGAUACCCCAGUAGUC
rnacentral:rRNA from 1 species